rnacentral:rRNA from 1 species
GGCCUAACACAUGCAAGUCGAGCGGUAGAGAGAAGCUUGCUUCUCUUGAGAGCGGCGGACGGGUGAGUUAUGCCUAGGAAUCUGCCUGGUAGUGGGGGAUAACGUUCGGAAACGGACGCUAAUACCGCAUACGUCCUACGGGAGAAAGCAGGGGACCUUCGGGCCUUGCGCUAUCAGAUGAGCCUAGGUCGGAUUAGCUAGUUGGUGGGGUAAUGGCUCACCAAGGCGACGAUCCGUAACUGGUCUGAGAGGAUGAUCAGUCACACUGGAACUGAGACACGGUCCAGACUCCUACGGGAGGCAGCAGUGGGGAAUAUUGGACAAUGGGCGAAAGCCUGAUCCAGCCAUGCCGCGUGUGUGAAGAAGGUCUUCGGAUUGUAAAGCACUUUAAGUUGGGAGGAAGGGCCGUUACCUAAUACGUGAUGGUUUUGACGUUACCGACAGAAUAAGCACCGGCUAACUCUGUGCCAGCAGCCGCGGUAAUACAGAGGGUGCAAGCGUUAAUCGGAAUUACUGGGCGUAAAGCGCGCGUAGGUGGUUUGUUAAGUUGGAUGUGAAAUCCCCGGGCUCAACCUGGGAACUGCAUUCAAAACUGACUGACUAGAGUAUGGUAGAGGGUGGUGGAAUUUCCUGUGUAGCGGUGAAAUGCGUAGAUAUAGGAAGGAACACCAGUGGCGAAGGCGACCACCUGGACUGAUACUGACACUGAGGUGCGAAAGCGUGGGGAGCAAACAGGAUUAGAUACCCUGGUAGUCCACGCCGUAAACGAUGUCAACUAGCCGUUGGGAGCCUUGAGCUCUUAGUGGCGCAGCUAACGCAUUAAGUUGACCGCCUGGGGAGUACGCCGCAGGUUAAAACUCAAUGAAUUGACGGGGGCCCGC